GAUGAACGCUGGCGGCGUGCCUAAUACAUGCAAGUCGAGCGAAGCGGGGACGGGUGAGUAACACGUAGAUAACCUCCUAUAAGACUGGGAUAACUUCGGGAAACCGGAGCUAAACCGCAUACUUAUAGAUGACUCCCCUCUGAAUUAGUUAUUGGGUAGGUUAACGGCUUACAAGGGCAACGAUGCAUAGCCGACCUGAGGGGGGGAUGGGCCACACUGGAACGGAGAAACGGCCCAGACUCCUCCGGGAGGAAGAAGUAGGAAAUUUUGCGAAAUGGGCGAAAGCCGGACGGGGCAAGGCGGCGUGGUGGAGGAAGGUUUCCGGACCGUAAAAUUCGGUGAUUAGGGAAGCGGUACCUAAUCAGAAAGCCACGGCUAACUACGUGCCAGCCGCCGCGGUAAUUC
rnacentral:rRNA from 1 species